rnacentral:rRNA from 1 species
CCUACGGGAGGCAGCAGUAAGGAAUCUUGCGCAAUGGGCGAAAGCCUGACGGAGCAACGCCGCGUGGGCGAUGAAGGCCUUCGGGUCGUAAAGCCCUUUUCUGUGGGACGAUAAUGACGGUACCACAGGAAUAAGCCACGGCUAACUACGUGCCAGCAGCCGCGGUAAUACGUAGGUGGCUAGCGUUAUCCGGAUUCACUGGGCGUAAAGAGCGCGUAGGCGGUGUGCUAAGUUGGACGUGAAAGCCCCCGGCUUAACCGGGGGAGGUCGUCCAAUACUGGUGCACUUAAGGGUGGACGGGGAAAGUGAAAUUCCCGGUGUAGUGGUGAAAUGCGUAGAUAUCGGGAGGAACACCGGUGGCGAAGGCGACUUCCGGGCCUGGUUCUGACGCUGAGGAGCGAAAGCUGGGGGAGCGAACGGGAUUAGAUCCCCCAGUAGU